ensembl:lncRNA
CAUGUAUUUCAUGUUGUAUUUCUUGUGCUGUGUGUGUGCAGCUUGAAUUAGUGUAUCCUUUAUGCAAACACUCCUCAUGCAUUUGGUGAACAGAUCCUUCAGGCUGCGGCUCGUGUCCAGAGCUGUAACUGUGUUUGGACCACAGCGAGGGAAGAGAGAGACAGUAAAUUAUGACGAAGGAGAGGGAAGCUGAUGGAAGGGAGCAGGAAACCAGACCAAACAUGGGCACAGGUGACGCACGGAGGAUACCCAGUUUCCAUAGCAACAGGCAGGUGCAAGACACUGGGAGCGAGCUUUCGAUCUGCUGAGCAGACAGGUUCACUUCAGAGCGAUUGAAGACACAAGAAGCAGGAGGACAGAGGAGGACGUUCCCACGCUGCCGAGUCUACGGACCAUCAGCUGGAAGACAUCAGUCCGUCUCUCUGGCUGCAACUGAGGAAACUGCU